AGGGCUGUAGCGCAGUGGAUAGCGCGUUCGACUUCGGAUCGAAAGGUCGAGAGUUCGACCCUCUCCUGCCUCG